UACGGGGGGAGCAAGCGUUGUUCGGAUUUACUGGGCGUAAAGGGCGCGUAGGCGGCCAGCACAAGUCAGUUGUGAAAUCUCCGAGCUUAGCUCGGAAAGGUCAACUGAUACUGUGCGGCUAGAGUGCAGAAGGGGCAACUGGAAUUCUUGGUGUAGCGGUGAAAUGCGUAGAUAUCAAGAGGAACACCUGCGGCGAAGGCGGGUUGCUGGGCUGACACUGACGCUGAGGCGCGAAAGCUAGGGGAGCGAACGGG
rnacentral:rRNA from 1 species